GGCGAACGCUGGCGGCGUGCUUAACACAUGCAAGUCGAACGGGAUAAUUUGAGAGCUUGCUCUUAGAGAAUCUAGUGGCACACGGGUGAGUAACACGUAGACAACCUGCCGACAGGAUGGGGACAACAUUCCGAAAGGAAUGCUAAUACCGAAUGAAGCGGAGGAGAGGCAUCUCUCCUCCGUGAAAGAUGGCCUCUGAAUAUGCUAUCACCUGUCGAUGGGUCUGCGUCUGAUUAGCUAGUUGGUGAGGUAACGGCUCACCAAGGCGACGAUCAGUAGCCGGUCUGAGAGGAUGAACGGCCACAUUGGGACUGAGACACGGCCCAGACUCCUACGGGAGGCAGCAGUGGGGAAUCUUCCGCAAUGGGCGCAAGCCUGACGGAGCAACGCCGCGUGAGUGAAGAAGGUCUUCGGAUCGUAAAGCUCUGUUGACGGGGACGAACGUGCGAAGGGUGAAUAAUCCUUUGUAAUGACGGUACCUGUCGAGGAAGCCACGGCUAACUACGUG
rnacentral:rRNA from 1 species